CAUUAAGCAUUUGGUACUCACUGUCUUUCCAUUCCUUGAUGAAGACAAGCUCGGGUGGAUAACCUUCAUAUUGAAGGCCGCUCCUUUCUUGAAGAACCUACAAUUAAAUGUGAGUUAAAACUUAAAUGUUAAAUAUCUCCCAUUAAUAAUUACAUUGUAUAAAAACUAAUAACAGCAGGACUAUCCCCAAUUUCCCGUUAAACUUAAACUCCUAACUGUGUAACUUAAGAGGGGAUGCAGCUGAAGGAGAGAAGUUUACAUGGGGCUGGGGCAGGUGGAUUCUAUUUACUUGUUUUUUUUCUUAAUCUUUUCUAGCAUGCAAAUACAUUGAUAUUCUUCAUUUAGGGUCGAAAUUUACAGCCAUCUUUUAUUGGCUAACGAUCAUAUAUAUUGAGGUAAAUACAGUGAGGUAUAAGAUAAAGUUGGUAUGAUUUUACUUAGAGCAAGUCCAAUGCUUAGCUAUAAUUGGUUGUAUAGCUAUAAUAUAGAACUAAUUAUGCAAAAUCAUCACUCCAAUGCAUAGUAUACUUUAUCCUAUAAAUAAAUGCAUAAGGAUAGCUGGUCCUAUAUUUGGACUAAAGAUAGCUAUAGCCUUCCUUGCCACAUUGUCCAACCAACUAAAGUUUAGGGAGUUUGGUGAAAAGUUAGUAAGAUUUGAAUGUAGUUGGGCCUAUUUUAGAACUAUGCAUUGGAGCACUAGUUGUAUUUUUAGACCAAAAACUACUUUUUGGUCCAAAAAUAUAGGAAUGGCUAUAGCCAUUUUAACUUUAGCAUUAGACUUGCUCUUACACAUUGCAAUAAUUAACAGGAAAUUAUGAAACUAAAAACUUAAUUAGAUUAAUAUCCUCGCUGCUUCUUAUAUGUUAUGCUAGCCGUAAGCAUGAUAGUACAAAUUGAUCUCUCUGUGGUUGGACUUCUUUAUCAGAUAUAAAGAGUUCAUACUCAAGUUAACGAUUGUAAUAUUUUCGUAACUUGUUUUCCUAUGGGGUCGGAUGAUAUGGUGUUAAUCUAACGUUGCUUCUACUCUCUUUCAGCAAUUCAUCUCAAGCUUCACCAGACAGUCAGAGGUGCAUGAUAGACAGCUACCUGAAGUCACUCAUAUGAAUCUUAGAGAAAUAGAGAUAAAUGGUUAUCAGGGUAACUAUCAUGAAAAGGAGCUCUUAAAGUAUUUGGUUAAUAGUGCAGUUAAGCUUGAUCUCCUUGUGAUUAGUCCACAAGUGAAGGUAUACAAGGGCUUAAACGAUUGGUGUUAUGAAGAUUUGAAUUUGCCUGGCGACAAGUUGAGCUUGGAAAAGAUUGAAGAACUCCAUUCAAUGGUUCCCAAGGCAAUCCGUGUAAGGAUAAUAUAAAUUUUUAAUAUGUCUUUAUGUAUGCGCUUUCAGUGGCAGAUAUAGACUGUCACCAGCUAGCAUAUCAGCCAUGGUGGCUGGUUAGCCUAGUAUAUAAAGAGACCAGUCUUGGUUGUAUUAACAUUAGCGUUACACAACAUUUUUGUAAAUUAGGUAAGAUAUUUUUGUCCCGGCAUUCACUUGGUCGUUGUGAUUACUUUUUCCCUGUGUAAAUAUUGGAUUUGAAAAUUAAUGCAGAACAUCGUGCUUCUCAUCUUUAUCGUGUUUUACUCUGAAGUACUAAGUUCCGGUAUCCAAUCAUGUAUAAGAUGAAGGUAAAGAUUAAAGUUUUACUUCUAGGGUGUGGAGCUUUGGUCAUUUUGGAGUCUGGAAUGAUAUAGAAAAGGUACAUAUAUGUUCUGUGGAGAAUGGAGAGCUGGAACAUGUGUAACUGUGUAUAUCAUCAGAUUAUACUGCAAAACAGUUUAAACCACAUAAAACUAAAAGGCAGCUGCUCCAAAAACUUACGCGUGCCAGUAAUAUUCAUCUGACAAAAAAAAAACGAGGUAAUUUUCCAUUUGACUCGACCAACAAAAAAAAGUGUUUAGGAGGAUGUAAUUUUCCAUCCGACUCAACCAACGGGGAAAAAAGCGUUUAGGAGGAGGUAACUUUCCAUCCAACGAGAAAAAAAAAGGAGAAAAAACGUUUACGAUGAGAUCUUGUUGCAAUGUUAUAGCUACCUAACUAAAAUAUAAGCUUUCCUCAAGCGAGAUUUUGCACAAGCUACCUAGUGAAUGUAAUGACUAUUUCAUAUUUAAAAAAGCACGGUUCAUCUAACCAUCUUUGUAAUAUUCAAAAAAACACAUUACAAGUCUGUCAAAAAAAAUAAAAAUCACAGUACACACACUUGCCAAAAUAACGCGGGUGUUUUUUUUUUUUUUUUUUUUUGUCACAAGAUACUUUCUCGUAUAACGAAUUGUAUCAGAAUACAAAAGCUGCUGCUAGGAGUUCCUUUCGUUCAAUAAAGUUUACCAUCUAACCCUCGGACAUGCAAAGAUGACCGGGGACGCUUAGACAAUAAAACUUUAAUGUUCGAUAAGAAAACACCCCUAAGAGGUCCAACUUUCCUUCUUUCUUCCCUCGAGUAUCCUGAAAAAUACCAACAAAAUAAAAGAACACAAUAAGUUCAUAAAAAUAAUCGAAUUAUCUAAAACCGACAAAGGAAAAAGUCAACAAACUCAAUAUUAGAAAAAUAUAUGAAUAUAAUAUAAUUUUUAAAGAAUCGAAAGUAAAAUAAAACUUAAGUAAAACAACACAUUAAAAAAUCUAAACCAAAGAGAUAAUUAGAUCUCUUUGGUUAGAUACCUAAACAAAAAAUACAAAAUAAAAUAUAAUAUAAAUUUCAUCAGAAAAUAGCUAAAUGUUAUCUCAAUCAAUAUUUAAAAUAUAAAAAAUAAAAAAAUUGAAAAUUGAAAAACAUAGCUAAGAUAUAUCUACUCAAAUAUAAGACAAAAUCUUGUCAAGAAAAUAAAAUAUGAAUCUUAUCAGAAUAUAACUAACUGAUAUCUCAAUAGGUAUUUAAUAUAAAAAUAAGAAGAAAUGAUUUAAAAUUGAAAAACAAACGUAUCACGAUUUUAGCUAAUUAUUAUCAACAUAAUGUAAAUUUGGUAUACACCAAUUAACCAAUCAACCAUUAAUGGCGUAAUAAUACCUCAUUAAGGCACAACAAAGCCAUCCUUUAUGGCCCCAUGAAUAAUUAAAUUCAGGUACAAUAAUCAACAAUAAAGACUAUCAAUUAAUUUUGUAAUGAAGACACAAAAAUUCAAAUUAUAGCACAUAGAAAAAAGUCAAAUUUCAAAUAUAAACGAAGUUAAAAAAUGUCAACUUAGCAUUCAAAAAUGACUAAAAUUAAGAUCUCUGAUUACUCCUAUAUCCUAAAUUACAAAGCUAAAUGUAUAAUCAAUCAAUAAACCUAGUAAAUUAAAUUACAUUACUCGCACUAAUUAAGUCAUCACCUCCACCACCACCACCGUCCAAGAACCGCAAACAAUCACCAUGGAUAGUACGAAACAAUUAAGAAUCGAAAAAGAAGAAACAAAACAUAUAAGAUAUAACUGACCAUAUAAUAUAAGAUUAAUAAAAACAUAUCCAAUCUCCUCAAAUUCAAACAAUCUAUACAAAAAUAGAUUUAAGCACGCAAUUAUACCUAAUCGGGAAAAAAAUAUGAAUCACAUCACAAUAAUAUAUAUAAUCAUAUGAUCAUAAUUAUGUGGUUUUACGUUAUGAAAAGAUCACACAUGUUUUUCUUUUUCCUUGAAUCGCAUCAGAGUGGCAUGAUUCUUUGCUUUAUAAUUUUCGAACAAGAGCCAUCCCAGCACCGAUUCAAGAUGAUGGCAAUUGGAAGGUGCCAGAAGCCGUGUCCUCGCUGGCCAACAAACUGAUUGAUACAGUACACAAUCGGUGCCCAGCUCCCGAACUAAGUACUCGACAACCAGAUCUUGUGCACAAACAGAAGUUGCUAAUGCUCAAGAUUUGAGAUCAAGAAUAAACGAACCACCGAGAAACCCUUAAAACAUAAAAAGAACUAAUCUUUAACGCGGGUGUUUGGCAAACUAAGCUCAUGGCUUAUUUGGAAGAGAAGUAACUUCAACUUAUUUAUGAACCGCUUGGCAAGGCAAGAGAAGUGCUUAAAAUGAGACUUAAAAACCUUCUAAUAAAAGCUAAGAAACCUAGCUUUUUUUGGGUUUUGAGCUUAUUAUAACAAAAUAAGCCACAGGUAUCCAAACACUUUUAAUAAUUUAUAGGUUCAAACCAACUUUUCACUUAUAAUUCAAUUCUUUAUUUUAAGCAAUAAGUCACUUAUUUUGAGCCUAGCCAAACGGCUCCGAUAUAAAAAUUCUCAAACAAUACACAGACUGCGUGUGAGAGAGAGAGUGAUGAUCUUGUAUGCCUAAGUCAACCGAAGACUUGACCAGAGUGGGAGAGGGGGAGAGAAGGCUUGGCCAGAGUGGGAGAGGGAGAGAGAGAGAU
rnacentral:lncRNA from 1 species